GACCUACUGUUAGUCAAUCGUUUUGGUUUUAAAGGUAAAUGCAUUGUUAGUCACAAUGUCUAGUUACUGGGCCAAAAGGAAAAUAAUAUUGAAAAGAGUUGAGAGGGACAAACAGGACAUUACUUGAAUCACUACAUGCUACAGAAGUUGCAUCGAUUCCAGAAAACCAGGAACAUUUUGAGCCAUCUGAAGACUUCAGAGCUGAACCAGGUUUCUCCCCAGUAAUCCAGAAUCCACUUCACAGAGCCAAGAGUUUGAGUACAAGGCACUUGACUUUCUGGAUAAAAGGUGUCGAGGUGUGUUGUACAUAUCAUUAGCUUUGCACAGUUCAAUUAUUGUUUCAUUACUGAAUAUGCAAUCUCUGCAGUGAAAUUAAAGCUGUUAUGUUUGUUCCCCCAGCUCGUCAAGUACUAAGCUUUACACCACCAGCAGCAAAUUUACCAUGGCAGCAUAUGGGUGAAAACGCUGGAGGUAUGUAAUACGUUGCGCUAAACUAAGUUUUACAUUUAAGUCCAAUUCAUUAAAUGUAUGCAAUUACUUCAAACAUUUUUACGUCAAUGAUUAUCAACAGGAGAAAGUCAUCGCUUUGUUAUUGGCCCUUGGACGCCCCUGGCAUCUCGUGUACAGCACAAAGUUUUCAGCUAUGAAGAUUUCCAGAGACUCCAGAAUGAAAACCAAGCUCUGAGGGAGGAGAACCAAGCCCUGAGGGAAUGUAAUGCACAAGGAGCUUCGGAUGACAGCGGCUCACUUCAAGAGCAGGUGAAGCAAGUAGGGACAAUGUUGAAGACAUUUGCUCUCACUGGGCAAUCAGUGCGUUACCUGAAAGGAGCAUCUGACCGUGAAGGCAGAAAAAGCCGCACAGCUGAGAAGGACCCACAGCCGACCCCUUAAACCUAGGCUGACUACUGACACCCCAGCAUCACUGAACUGGAACACUUUCUUUAUCCUGCAGUCAGUAACAUCAAGAAGCCAGAAGUACCAGACUACACUCACCAAAUCCACCCUGUUUUUUUUUUUUUUGUAUUUUAACUUUAGUAUUGGCUUAUUUCAUUCCGUCUUAACGAUUCUAUUAUAGUUUGUAAAUCCUAUUUCAUACCUGUUACUUGAUAUUGCACAUUAACUAGUACCAAAGUUCUACUUUCAUUUCAUCACUGUGCUUAACUCUUAUUCUAUUAAUAAUAGCUUGGAAAUACUAUUUCGUACCUCUGAUACUUGAUAUUGCACAUUACCUGGUACCAAAUAUUCUACUUACUCUGUUUUUAACAUCAGCAUUUUUCGUUCCAUCACAGUGCUUAACUGUUAUUCUAUUGUUAAAUAUAGCUUGUAAAUCCUUGUGCCAC
rnacentral:lncRNA from 1 species